AGCAUGUGUUACGGGUCAAGUUGUUUCUUGAAAGAAGACGUAAUGAAGAGCUAACCCUCAGCCCCUCAGAACGUGGCCUCAUUUAGAAACAGGGCCUUCAUAGAGGGAUGAUAGAAGCCAGAGCUGAGGACCCGAUGGAAUGGAGGUGAAAGCGCAGAUCUCCGUGAGAAGAAAAGCAGGCCUACCUUCCUAAAGGAUGACUUGUGUUGAUUACCUUCUCUCACAUUACCCAAGUUGCUUUGGGUCUUGGUAAAAAUGCCAGAGCAACGGACUGGAACUACAGUGUCCUUCCCGCCAACAAAAACCAAGACGUAAGCCCCAGGGAAACUCCAGAUGCUUGGGUCUUCUUGGCUUCAGAACUAGAGUUUUCAAGACCUGACAUCAUC